GCUGGCGACCAUAGCAAGAGUGAACCACCUGAUCCCUUCCCGAACUCAGAAGUGAAACCUCUUAGCGCUGAUGGUAGUGUGGGGUUACCCAUGUGA
rnacentral:rRNA from 1 species